rfam:Firmicutes bacterium CAG:129 genomic scaffold, scf394
GGAGAUGGCUCUGGAAAAUCUCAGCAAUGAGUGCCGAAGGUGUAAGGCCCCGCGCGGGUUGAAUCUCUCAGGCAAAGAGGACAGGGCAGGAAAC